rnacentral:rRNA from 1 species
UACGUAGGGUGCGAGCGUUAAUCGGAAUUACUGGGCGUAAAGCGUGCGCAGGCGGUUUUGUAAGCCAGAUGUGAAAGCCCCGGGCUUAACCUGGGAAUGGCAUUUGGGACUGCAAGGCUUGAGUGCGGCAGAGGAGACUGGAAUUACUGGUGUAGCAGUGAAAUGCGUAGAUAUCAGGAGGAAUACCGAUGGCGAAGGCAGGUCUCUGGGCUGACACUGACGCUCAUGCACGAAAGCGUGGGGAGCGAACAGG